rnacentral:rRNA from 1 species
AGUUUGAUCUGGCUCAGAUUGAACGCUGGCGGCGUGCUUAACACAUGCAAGUCGCGCGUGAAAGGGCUUCGGCCCAAGUAAAGCGCGCACGGGUGAGUAACGCGUGGAUGAUCUACCCAUGAGUUGGGAAUAACGGCUGGAAACGGUCGCUAAUACCGAAUACGCUCCGAUUUCAACUUCGGGGGAAAGGUGGCCUCUGCUUGCAAGCUACUGCUCAUGGAUGAGUCCGCGUCCCCAUUAGCUAGUUGGUGGGGUAACGGCCCACCAAGGCGACGAUGGGUAGCCGGUCUGAGAGGAUGACCGGCCACACUGGGACUGGAACACGGCCCAGACUCCUACGGGAGGCAGCAGUGGGGAAUAUUGCGCAAUGGGCGAAAGCCUGACGCAGCGACGCCGCGUGAGGGAAUGAAGGUCCUCGGAUCGUAAACCUCUGUCAGGAGGGAAGAACCGCCACGGUGCUAAUCAGCCGUGGUCUGACGGUACCUCCAAAGGAAGCACCGGCUAACUCCGUGCCAGCCGCCGC